rnacentral:rRNA from 1 species
AUCAACUUUCGAUGGUAGGAUAGAGGCCUACCAUGGUGGUAACGGGUAACGGGGUGUUAGGGCACGACACCGGAGAGGGAGCCUGAGAAACGGCUACCACAUCCAAGGAUGGCAGCAGGCGCGCAAAUUACCCAAUCCCGACACGGGGAGGUAGUGACAAUAAAUAACAAUACGGGGUUCUUUCGGAUUUCGUAAUUGGAAUGAGUACAAUUUAAAUCUCUUAACGAGGAACAAUUGGAGGGCAAGUCUGGUGCCAGCAGCCGCGGUAAUUCCAGCUCCAAUAGCGUAUAUUAAAGUUGUUGCAGUUAAAAAGCUCGUAGUUGAAUUUCGGGAUCAGUACGUCGGUCGUGCCUCUGGUAUGUACUGGUGUUACUGGUUCCUCCCUUCUGAAGAACUGUCAUGUCAUUUAUUUGGUGUGGCGGGGAAUCAGGACUGUUACUUUGAAAAAAUUAGAGUGUUUAAAGCAGGCUCGCGCUUGAAUACAUUAGCAUGGAAUAAUGAAAUAGGACGUUUGAUCCUAUUUUGUUGGUUUCUAGGAUUGACGUAAUGAUUAAUAGGGAUAGUUGGGGGCAUUAGUAUUCAAUUGUCAGAGGUGAAAUUCUUGGAUUUAUUGAAGACUAACUACUGCGAAAGCAUUUGCCAAGGAUGUUUUCAUUAAUCAAGAACGAAAGUUAGGGGAUCGAAGACGAUCAGAUACCGUCGUAGUCUUAACCAUAAACUAUGCCGACUAGGGAUCGGAUGAUGUUAAUUUUUUAAUGACUCAUUCGGCGCCUUACGGGAAACCAAAGUGUUUGGGUUC